ensembl:lncRNA
UUAUCAGAUCGUAGUCCGUAUUUGAUUUGUACAUACACACACAGCACCGAUGCCUCUGGCCGUGACCCUUUAGCCCAGCUGCAAUUCAAAAGCACAAAGCUCCCUGUUCACGAAACCUGCAGCUCAACGUGAGUUAUAAACUGCUCGAGUUGUUUCUCACAGGAAACUGAGUUCUUGACAGCUUAGAGAGGAAGAGAGAAGCCAGACAAAACCACACAAAAAGAACAACAAGGACUGUACGAUCCUUUGUGUCCAUGCAACUUUAGCAAAAAAAAAAAAAAAGGCAGAGUACUCACGGAGAACACGAGCGCCUGGCCUUGUGAAGGAAAGAAUCCUACUUGCUCUGGUCCAUUUUGUAUUUUCGUCACCGCCAUAAAAAUUCCCCUCCUAGCUGCGGAGGCUGGCGAACCAACCCGAGGGCCCCCGGGAAAACAGCCCCGGCACUGGCUGCCUCUCGCUGCCUGUCAGGCUGGGAAACCGGCUUCUGUGUGGGGAGCAGCUGUUCCCCUCCACCUCCUCCUCCUCCUCCCAACCGCAGCACUUCUGUACAACCACACAAAAGCGGACAGAACACGGCUGCCUCCUCCCAGCAAUCGCACAAGCGCAGACGAGCGGGGCUAAAAGGCUGAGGCUGGUGGACAGAGAGGCAGGUAUUUAAUUUGUACCGUUUUCUAGUUUCUGAAGUCGCUGCUUUUUCAAGAGUGGGAGGGGACAAGCCGAAAGCUUCUGGGUGAGGAAACGGCACAUAAUCCCUAAUGGCAGAAACUUCCUACUCGCUGGGAAUAAGCAGGACAUCCCCCGUCCGACGGAGCAGGAAUGCGAGGCCCGCUUUCAAAGAGGCCCAGUUACAAACAGGGCACAAAGUCACUUCAGCGUGACCUGGGGGUCAGACAUGGCAAAAGCUCCUAAACUCCACAUAUCAGCUUCUGCGCUGGCUGGGUCACAUGAGGAGAGGCGAGCGGAGAAUGUGGAGAAUUCAAAUCAUGUUUAAAGAGGCACUGGGUCAUUUGACUCACGUCACCAUUUCAAGUGUCUGCAGCAAAAAAAAAAAAAAAAAAAAUUUGGCUGUUAACAGUGACAGUUUAUUACGUUUAUAACAAAUAAUUCAAAAUUGGCAUUUGAAUUCAUUUUAAACAUUUGGAGUAACUUAAAAGAGUGAUGUAAGGGAAUUUUAACACUAAACAUCCUAAUAUAAAUAUUUUAAUUGACUUUAAACCUUUACCUAUACAUGGUCAGGUUAGAGACAUUUUCUAGUUUUGUCAGGUUUCCUUUGAUAGAUAAAGCAACAUUCAAGUCAAGAUUUAUUUACAAACUAGGACAUUUGGUAGGGGUCAACCAAUGUAAGUUUUGCAAUGCACAAUGCUCUAUAUCCAGAGAGCAGUGUGACUGAUAUAUCACUUAUUUUAGACAAUAUUUACUCUAGGUAGUACCUAGAGUAGUAUUUAAAGAAAAUGCAAAUUAUUCACUCGGAGGAUGAAAGAUUUGGAACUGACUCGAGGAGAAACUACAGCUUCUGUUAAGCUGCCAAACAGGCAUGAAUAUCAAUGCUGCCAAUACUCUCAAAAUGGACAAAUAUAUCUCAAAGAGUAUCUCUAAAUUCUCCAGUGUCAUUUGGUGAAGAAUCGAUUGCCAUCUAUGCAUUUAAAAAAGAGAGGGAUC